AAGUCGUAACAAGGUCUCCGUAGGUGAACCUGCGGAGGGAUCAUUCACAUGAUCAUAAUCUUAAACAAUUCUGUGAACUUUUUUUUUUAAAUAACAAUUCUUUUUUUCUUUUGUCAACAAAAGAAAAAAUUACAUUCGAUCGUACAUUAGAUAGCUGGUUUUACUUGUAACAGAGUAAUUUCUACAGCUGAUUGAAAUAUAUCUAAACAAUAUAUUUGAAUCAAGACAAACAAACAUAGAAUUUAACAACUCUAUGCCCUGGAUAUCUUGGUUCUC
rnacentral:misc_RNA from 1 species